rnacentral:rRNA from 1 species
CCUACGGGUGGCAGCAGUGGGGGAUAUUGCACAAUGGGGGAAACCCUGAUGCAGCGACGCCGCGUGAGUGAAGAAGGAUUUCGGUAUGUAAAGCUCUAUCAGCAGGGAAGAAAAUGACAGUACCUGACCAAGAAGCCCCGGCUAACUACGGGCCAGCAGCCGCGGUAAUACGUAGGGGGCAAGCUUUAUCCGGAUUUACUGGGUGUAAAGGGAGCGUAGCCGGGUUUGUAAGUCUGGAGUGAAUGCCCGGGGCCCACCCCCUGGACUGCUUUGGAAACUGUGGAACUGGAGUACAGGAGGGGCAGGCGGCAUUCCUGGUGUAGCGGUGACAUGCGUCGAUAUCAGGAGUAACACCGGCGGCGAAGGCGGCCUGCUGGACUGAAACUGACGUUGAGGCUCGAAAGCGUGGGGAGCAAACAGGAUUAGAUACCCCAGUAGUC